GGUAGGCUAGGGAUUGCACUACGAGCGUUGUUCUGCUUGAGCAGGACUCUUUAUAAGUUUGCUGAGGUCUCCACGUUUGUGAAAACUCAAACUCUGCUUGCCUUGGCUUUUACAGAACCAAAUUUGUAACGAGGGAGAUCUCGUUUUAGAAGACUUAUUUUCUAAGUCUGAACUUUGGAAUUCUGAUCUAAAGCUGGUUU
rnacentral:lncRNA from 1 species